rnacentral:rRNA from 1 species
GUGAGGAAUAUUGGUCAAUGGGCGGAAGCCUGAACCAGCCAUCCCGCGUGAAGGAAGGCGGCCCUAUGGGUUGUAAACUUCUUUAGUACAUGAAGAACAGGAUCUACGCGUAGGUUUAUGACGGUAAUGUACAAGAAAGCAUCGGCUAACUCCGUGCCAGCAGCCGCGGUAAUACGGAGGAUCCAAGCGUUAUCCGGAUUUAUUGGGUUUAAAGGGUGCGUAGGCGGCCCGUUAAGUCAGGGGUGAAAUACGGCAGCUCAACUGUCGCAGUGCCCUUGAUACUGACGGGCUUGAAUACCGGUGAAGGCGGCGGAAUGAGACAAGUAGCGGUGAAAUGCAUAGAUAUGUCUCAGAACCCCGAUUGCGAAGGCAGCUACCUAACCGGCGAUUGACGCUGAUGCACGAAAGCGUGGGGAUCGAACAGGAUUAGAUACCCGUGUAGUCC